GUGUUAACACAUCAAAAUGCAAGUUUGAAGAUGAGCCCAGAAGGGCUCCGGG
rnacentral:tRNA from 1 species